UGAAAAGUCUGAAAGUCUGGAACAAACGAAGUUGGUGUGAAAGCCCCGUUAAACUCUUUUCUCUUGUUUAUGUAGGUUUGCAAGGAGAGAAGGGAGAGAGAGGCUCUCAAGGAACUGGAGUCAGAGGACAGAGAGGCCCAAGUGGGCCACCAGGGCCACCAGGAGAGUCUAGAACGGGACCCCCAGGUCCUUCUGGCUCCGCUGGGCCUCGUGGCCCUCCAGGUCGCCAGGGUACUCCAGGGGUGAGGGGACCACCAGGACCCCCUGGAUAUUGCGACUCUUCUCAGUGUGUUGGCAUUCCUUACAAUGGACAAGGAUACACAGGUUUGGCAUAGUAAACGUUCUAAGUCAUCUGUGCCACUUACACUUUGAAGUCCUGUUUCUGAGAUGUUUGCCCAUUUGCUAUGGGGCAUGUAAGGAUAAUCACCAUGGACAUACUUAUUGAACAUUUAAAACAUUACAAAAGCCAAAAAACAGAAUGGAGCAGUACUGGCACUAACAUCAUCUCACAGCUACAAGCUACAGUGAUGGCAACCUGCUGGCCUGUUUGCAUCUUGAACCACAAACCGUUGGGAGAAAAAAACAAAAAAAAGCAGAGACUGAAUAUUUCUACGAAGGACGGAGCAUGUACAAACACCACCCAAAACAACUACUAACAAAGAGGAUUUUAUAAAGGAAAGCAAUAUUAAUGUGGAGGUGAUAUGUGUAAAUAAAACUAAUUUUUGUGCCUUGUAAAUGAUUGUAUGAACCAGGACGUUUCACUAAAAAUCAAGUUAACAUCUGUAUUGAGCUUGUGCCUCAUAACCCUCUGCUUACUUACCACCAGCAUAACCUCUGUUUACAACGCCUCAAGUGACUUAAACAGCUCUGUUCCAGACUGACGCAUGUUCCACUUGUACUUUUAAUCAUCAUGCUCUUUGUGUACGUUGGCCAGAUCAGUGAUAAAUGUUGCUCUCUUGCCAUUCCCAUGUGUGUUUUGUAGUAUCAGCUGGUUAUUAUACUACAUCUUAUUAUCCAAUAGCUUGAUGGAUUUUAUUGUAAAUGUCAUCACAGCAUUUGAAACUGUUUUUUAUUUAGCUUUUUUGGUAUUUUAGGAAGCAAUAGUUUGACACAGGGAAUUUUUUGGGAAUUCCAUAGUGCAAUAUAACUUAAAUUGUGCAUGUGAAAAGUUGGAGAAGCAACUCUUUUUUUUUUGAUUGGCCGUCCCAAAUAUUUUUCUAGCUGACCGCUACCAGCCUGAACCUGAGGUAGUGUCUAUACCUGUGGAACCAGCUGGAGAGUUUGAGACAAUACAAUCACCCGGUUACUCACGAAACCAACGAGGAAAGAGAUCACUACCACAAAAAAUACAGACACACUAGCAUCAUAGCUACAACAAGGAGUUAUGUAAUAUUGAAACAACUUCCAUGAUCACAUAUGUGAGGAUUGUGAUGUGAUUUUCAGAACAAAACUAGUACUUACAUGGGUUUGAUACCCCCAAUACUGAACAUAUAUUUUUCUGACAUGAGAAAGUUUAGCAAGAUGAAUACAAACCUACAUGUUUCGUUCAUUACAAACCUGUGUGCUUGCUGAGUGUUCCCUUUAAGUGUCUGCUUGUAAUAUAACUGCAAGUGUUUAUCGGACUCCAAUGUGUAAUGCACUAAUCAUUUGAAAACUGGGAGGACGUAUGUCAAAGGAAAUACAGUAUGUAUGUUUUUUAACACUUUCAGACAAUGUCAAACUUCAGUAUGUAAAGCUGUUUGAGAUACUCCAUCGGUAAAAAAAAAGGUAAAUGAAUUUGAUCCCCAAAGAUGUGUGCAUUGUGAUGUUUUCUUAGGCCUGUAAACCAAAUGAUAAUCUGAUUUAUUGUAACAAACCAAGCUUGUUUGUUUUUUUUGUUUUGUUACCAAAGGUGGAAUUGCAUGUUUGUGUUGUAUAUUUACUGAGGAUUUCUAAGUCAGAAUAUAGUUGUUGUUUUCUAUCUAUGGAGUUUUGAUUUGGUUGCAAGACUAUGGACAUAGAAUUGCUUUUCUCAUGUUUUAACUGCACAUUUUGUGAAUUCCACACAGCCUUAUUUUCUUAUUUAUUUCUGAAACAGAAGAGGCAUUUUUCAAUAAAACUACUGAAAAUGUA